GUGCCAUGAUGUAACUGUCAACACAUCAUUCUGAAGAAUUGUGUGGAGAUCACCUGUAACUGAGCACU
rnacentral:snoRNA from 1 species